rnacentral:rRNA from 1 species
AGCGAACGCUGGCGGCAGGCUUAACACAUGCAAGUCGAGCGGGCGUAGCAAUACGUCAGCGGCAGACGGGUGAGUAACGCGUGGGAACGUACCUUUUGGUUCGGAACAACACAGGGAAACUUGUGCUAAUACCGGAUAAGCCCUUACGGGGAAAGAUUUAUCGCCGAAAGAUCGGCCCGCGUCUGAUUAGCUAGUUGGUGAGGUAACGGCUCACCAAGGCGACGAUCAGUAGCUGGUCUGAGAGGAUGAUCAGCCACAUUGGGACUGAGACACGGCCCAAACUCCUACGGGAGGCAGCAGUGGGGAAUAUUGGACAAUGGGCGAAAGCCUGAUCCAGCCAUGCCGCGUGAAUGAUGAAGGCCUUAAGGGUUGUAAAAUUCUUUUGCAGGGGAAGAUAAUGACGGUACCCUGCGAAUAAGCUCCGGCUAACUUCGUGCCAGCAGCCGCGGUAAU